rnacentral:rRNA from 1 species
UGAUUAUGACGUACUUGUACUGAUUGAGAUUUUAACACGAAGUGAGUGGCGAACGGGUGAGUAACACGUGGGUAACCUGCCCAGAAGUAGGGGAUAACACCUGGAAACAGAUGCUAAUACCGUAUAACAGAGAAAACCGCAUGGUUUUCUUUUAAAAGAUGGCUCUGCUAUCACUUCUGGAUGGACCCGCGGCGUAUUAGCUAGUUGGUGAGGUAAAGGCUCACCAAGGCAGUGAUACGUAGCCGACCUGAGAGGGUAAUCGGCCACAUUGGGACUGAGACACGGCCCAGACUCCUACGGGAGGCAGCAGUAGGGAAUCUUCCACAAUGGACGCAAGUCUGAUGGAGCAACGCCGCGUGAGUGAAGAAGGGUUUCGGCUCGUAAAGCUCUGUUGUUAAAGAAGAACGUGGGUAAGAGUAACUGUUUACCCAGUGACGGUAUUUAACCAGAAAGCCACGGCUAACUACGUGCCAGCAGCCGCGGUAAUACGUAGGUGGCAAGCGUUAUCCGGAUUUAUUGGGCGUAAAGCGAGCGCAGGCGGUCUUUUAAGUCUAAUGUGAAAGCCUUCGGCUCAACCGAAGAAGUGCAUUGGAAACUGGGAGACUUGAGUGCAGAAGAGGACAGUGGAACUCCAUGUGUAGCGGUGAAGAACAUCCUCUUUUAUUUCCUUU